AAAACAGCAUAGGGAGAUUAAGAUUGAAAUCACUCUCUUUUUGGUAUUUUUGUUAUACUUUGGGAACUACAAUACUGGCACAGGCAACCAUCAACAACAAGGAGAACUACAGCACAUCAGAAAACAUAUAUACAUCAAACAUGUAAGAAAAGUGUAAUAGCAAGAUCAUAGGACAUAAUAGAAGUACUUCUCAUCACAAACACACAUAUACUUGAGCUAACACAAGGACUACAAAAUGGAACAAGUUCAUAUGGAUGAACACAAACACAUGCUAGCAGAUUACUAACUCAGAAAGAAAAAUCACAUAGACCGAAUAUUAAAUGUACACUAUAGUUACAAGUACGAAACAAAACAAACAGCAGGUUGCAAGUACUCUUAAAAUCUGAACCUUACAAAGUAUUACAUAUCUCAAUUUUACAAAAAUUAGGUGUUUGGAACAAUACACAAGGUUCACCUACAAGUUUCAGAAAUUUGCAAAAAGUAAAGAGAGAAGAGGAGCGGCACCUGUUUGGGUUCAGAGAAGAAGCGCAGAAUAGGAGGUAAAGAAAAGGAGCAGCAGCGUGAGGGCUUUGAGAGGAGUAGCAGCAGGGGCGUGAGAGGAGCAGCAGAGAGAGUUGAGGAAAAGGAUCAACAGUAGGGGUUCAGAGGAGAAGGCAACAACAAUGGGGGUCAGAGAAGAGAAGCAGCAGCAAGACGUGGGAGAAGGAGCAGCAGGGGCAUCUGGGUGAGAGAAGCAGCAGAGAGGGUUGAGGGCGAACAGCAGCAGGUUGAAGAAGAGAGGUGGAGGAUGGCGUGGGGCACCAGACAACCACGACCUCUAGUCUUGUAGGGCGCGCGAGGUGAUGGUGGCUGGAUGUGAUGGCGCCUGGUGGAUGGAUGGGUUGCGGUAGCGCGGGUGGAGGUGCUGCAGCGUUGUGGAGUGGGUGGAGGUACUGGGUGGCACGCCGCCAUGCUGGCCUGGCCGCGGUGACGGCCAGAGGUGGAGAAGAAGGUUGGGGGAGAGGGAUAUGUAGCCAGGCCCAAAGGGGAUCGAUGGUUGCCGCUAGGGAUUUGAUCCCCUCCUCUGAUCUGCCAGUUUUGCUCUUUUGCCCUUCCACUUCUCUUCUCUCUUCACAAGAUGAUCCCUCCAACUUUAUCUUGAUCCCUCUGGUUACUUCUUUUCUUCACGGUUGGGUCCCUCCGUAAGUUACAGCAACCAUAGUUUCUUGACACUCUCUAUUAUAGAAGGAUUUUGGGCCUUUUCGCCCUUUUCUGCAAAACAUGGAGGAGUGUUGUAAAUGUAGCAUAAUGGGGGUAUUUGAAUAUUUCUGAAGUAAAAAAUGUGAAAAUAUGAUUACAAUGUGGUGCAAAAAGGAUAAAAAGAUUAUAUGAGGAAAUGCUCUAUCAAGUUCCCCCGCACUUAAAUCUUUGCUUGUCCUCAAGCAAAGGAAUAUGACAAGAGCAAGAUUGUGAACAGUGAGCUGACUAGAGAAUGCCAAGUGAAGUAGAUCUCCAAACAAAGCAUGCUUUGAACCUAGCUAGUGAAAAUUAAUGGUUAGGAGUGCUUCAAAGUGGUAGGAUAUUAGUAGACUUGACCAUUUUAAACUUUUACAAUGAUAAAAGAAGAUCAACUAGUUCAAAUGAUGAUUGUGCCGAAGGUUCCUAAAGAGAGCAUGAUCCCGAGAACAAAAAGAACAUACACUUGUGAUCAGAUCACUUAUUUACAGAAAUAAAGCAAUGAUAAUAUUUUAUCGAUCUCACCAAAGGAACAUACCACCGAUCCCGAGAACAUGGAAUAUACCCGGCUCGACCAAUUAUUAGUUUUUUUGUUUGCCUCCCCAAAGGAACAUACCACCGAUCCAGAGCACAUGGUAUACACCUGGUUUGACAAUUACAAUUUUUAUUAUUAGUUACUGCCCAAGCUAACCCGAUUUCACAUGCCACCGAUCCAGGGAACAUGACAUGCUACUGUAGGUAGUCAGACUUAUCAUUCAUUAUAAGAUUUACUUUUUUUAAAAAUGAACAACGCAUAAGCACAAAAACAGGAAUCCUCACUUCUUCAUGUCUGGUUCACAUGCUACCGAUCCAGGGAACAUAGCAUGCUAAUCCAUAGUGGUUAGGUGAUUGCUCUCAAUGGGAACACACUUAGCACAAAUUCAGCAUCUAAACAUGGUGAUCUAGGUGUAUCAUAGUAAAUGCAGAAAAUGACGAAGUUUUCUAGUGUACUAGGGAUUUGAGCACUCAAAACUAAUAGUUCUCACUAAUUUCAGCCAAGCACGCAUGGUGUAGAUCACUAGUUUACAAGGCAUUUAGAAAUCAAGUUCAAAAAUUCACAUCAAGCACGAUGCCAAAGGUGAAUUUCAGCUUGACAACAAGUAAUAACUGGCUCAAGCAACCCAACUAGCAAUUGAUUUCAGCUUGUAUCAAUAGAUGAUAUAUUCAGAUUGGGGUCAUGAAACAGCUCACCAGGCUUUAUGAAGUAGAACUCGCUCGAUCAUCUCACAUCCUCUUGCAUUGUGACUCCUCUCCUUUUGCUUCUCUAUCCUCAUGCUCUCUAUCCUCGUGCAUGCUCCAGCUUUUCUCUUCCUUGUAUGUGCCCAUUGCUUCUCCUUUUCACCAUGCUCUAAAUCCACCGGGGUCCCAAGGAAUGUCACCUCGAACCUGGUCAACAUGUAGUGAUUUGUGCACAAGCAAGAACUUGAAAGAGCACUCAACGAAAGAGACAAUGCAAGUGGUAGGGAUAAUACCCUCCAAGUCAUUAAUCGAAUAUCCAAUUACAUAAGCAUAGCUAUAAAGCACAUGUUUAGGAUGGUAGAAAUCAGCAAGGUCAACACUAACAUGAGGAUGAAACUUAUCAUUAAGCUCAAUACUAGCAUUGGAAUUAUAUGUUUCAUUAAGCAUAGGACUAGCACGAGGAAAGUAACUGUGAUCAUCACAAAUGAGAAUAAUACCACUAACAGGGUAUAUAUCAUCAUAUACAAGCAAAUACCUUUUCAAAUCUACUUUAACAGAUGGCAUCAUGCAAUGCAAGGUAGUAGCAAAGAAAUCACAAGGAUGCAUGUCAUUGAGAGGAUUGGAUAAACCUGACACAUCACGCUCAUGUAUGACAAUAGGCCAAUGAAUCUCAGCUUCUUCAUCUUCAUCUACAGUAGCUUCUUGUACUUCUUCAAGAGUAGUAGAUGAUGAGUCUUCAACUUGAUCACUUGGGAAUUGUAGCUCUUGAUCAUCUUGUUCCUUGUCUUCCAGUUCAUCUUCUUCAAUCUGAGGUAUCUCUUACUCAAGGCACUUGCUAUCUUGGUCAGCUAGAUGUGAUGGUAUUGGAACCUCACAUGUAUCAAGGGGAUUCCCAGAAUUACUCAGCUCAAGCUGUGAAGAAAUAGUACUGCCAGCGUUGAUGUUCUUCUCAAUCUUCUUUACUUCAUCCACUAGCUCAUUCCCACUCUUGAUCUUCUUCAUUUCCUCUAGUAUAACCUUCCUAAUAGGAUCAUCCUCAGCACUCCAAGUGAACUCGAGACUCAAAAGUGUGAGCUUGUCUAUGUCACCGAAUUCAUCUUGUGUGGGCACUUGCACAUGAGAUUGCUCGGCGGUUGCUGGAGUUGUUGGUUGACCAAAUGGAGGACCAUUUAACUCCAUUGGCAACAUCUCCUGGUGUUGAGGUAUAUGAGUAGGAGCUGAAUAAAUCUGUUGUCGAGCAUAGUUGUGGCUCUCCUCAUUGUACCUAAAUCCCUGUAUAUGAUUACUAGAAGCAAAUGGUGAGAUCUCAGGGUUGUUGCUCCUAUAUGACAUAUUCUGGUUCUCAGGCCACCCAUAUGAGUAAUUGUUUUGGUAUGAGCUAGGCUGUGGGGCGAAGCUCAUGCCAUAACAAUCAGGAGAGUGAGAGUAACCACGCUGACAUUCAGCGGGUGAAUGGCCCUGAAAUCCACAAAUAUGGUAUGUAGGAGCAACAUAAGGAUGACCUCUAGAAUAAGGAUCAUAAGAGCUAGGCCUAUCCUCAAAAACUACUUCUCGCUGCCGAGCUAAAUCAUCUAAUCGAUGGGAAAUCUUAUGAGUUCUUGAAUAGUUUCCGUGUUGUUUGCAGUGUUCCUCGCAUCUCCAAGACAAUCUGAAUAAUAUGCCAUAACCGAGUAGAUAGCUCUAACCUGCAAAAUGAAAAGAAAACAAAAAGAUACUAGCUAGAACAGGGGUUAGUGAUUAGAGAUAUAACACAAAUAUAUGGCACAAACUAGAAAAUGAAGAAAAACCUAGUCUAUAGCCUAACACAAUCGCUCGACGCUAGUCCUCAUCAACGGCGCCAAAAUGAUUAAUUGAAAGUACAGCGGGGUUUUUAUGCCCCAAGCUACGGAUGUCGUGUUCUCCACAGGGACUAGGCGACGGCAAUUAUGCUCGGCUAAAGCUAGGUAACACAAUUCUGAUUAUGAAUGCAAGAAAAAGCUAAACUAAACAAGGUUGACGACAAAGAAAAUGCAAAACAGCAUAGGGAGAUUAAGAUUGAAAUCACUCUCUUUUUGGUAUUUUUGUUAUACUUUGGGAACUACAAUACUGGCACAGGCAACCAUCAACAACAAGGAGAACUACAACACAUCAGAACAUAUAUAUACAUCAAACAUGUAAGAAAAGUGUAAUAGCAAGAUCAUAGGACAUAAUAGAAGUACUUCUCAUCACAAACACACAUAUACUUGAGCUAACACAAGGACUACAAAAUGGAACAAGUUCAUAUGGAUGAACACAAACACAUGCUAGCAGAUUACUAACUCAGAAAGAAAAAUCACAUAGACCAAAUAUUAAUUGUACAUUAUAGUUACAAGUACGAAACAAAAUAAACAGCAGGUUGCAAGUACUCUUAAAAUCUGAACCUUACAAAGUAUUACAUAUCUUAAUUUUAGAGAAAUUAGGUGUUUAGAACAAUACACAAGGUUCACCUACAAGUUUCAGAAAUUUGCAAAAAGUAAAGAGAGAAGAGGAGCGUCACCAGUUUGGGUUCAGAGAAGAAGCGCAGAAUAGGAGGUAAAUAAAAGGAGCAGCAGCGUGGGGGCUUUGAGAGGAGUAGCAGCAGGGGCGUGACCGCGUGAGAGGAGCAGCAGAGAGAGUUGAGGAAAAGGAUCAGCGGUAGGGGUUCAGAGGAAAAGGCAACAGCAAUGGGGGUCAGAGAAGAGAAGCAGCAGCAAGACGUGGGAGAAGGAGCAGCAGGGGCAUCCGGGUGAGAGAAGCAGCAGAGAGGGUUGAGGGCGAACAGCAGCAGGUUGAAGAAGAGAGGUGGAGAAUCGCGCGGGGCACCAAACAACCACGACCUCUAGUCUUGUAGGGCGCGCGAGGUGAUGGUGGCUGGAUGUGAUGGCGCCUGGUGGAUGGAUGGGUUGCGGUAGCGCGGGUGGAGGUGCUGCAGCGUUGUGGAGUGGGUGGAGGUACUAGGUGGCGCGCCGCCAUGCCGGCCUGGCCGCGGCGACGGCCAGAGGUGGAGAAGAAGGUUGGGGGAGAGGGAUAUGUAGCCAGGCCCAAAGGGGAUCGAUGGUUGCCGCUAGGGAUUUGAUCCCCUCCUCUGAUCUGCCAGUUUUGCUCUUUUGCCCUUCCACUUCUCUUCUCUCUUCACAAGAUGAUCCCUCCAACUUUAUCUUGACCCCUCUAGUU
rnacentral:lncRNA from 1 species